AUUGAACGCUGGCGGCAUGCCUUACACAUGCAAGUCGAGCGGUAGCGCGGUCUUCGGACUGGCGGCGAGCGGCGAACGGGUGAGUAAUACAUCGGAACAUGCCCAGUCGUGGGGGAUAACACUUCGAAAGAAGUGCUAAUACCGCAUACGUCCUGAGGGAGAAAGCGGGGGAUCGCAAGACCUCGCGCGAUUGGAGUGGCCGAUGUCAGAUUAGCUAGUUGGUGGGGUAAAGGCCUACCAAGGCAACGAUCUGUAGCUGGUCUGAGAGGAUGAUCGGCCACACUGGGACUGAGACACGGCCCAGACUCCUACGGGAGGCAGCAGUGGGGAAUUUUGGACAAUGGGGGCAACCCUGAUCCAGCCAUUCCGCGUGAAGGAAGAAGGACUUCGGGUUGUAAAGCUCUUUCGGCAGGAACGAAACGGCGAGCUCUAAAAUGGCUCGCUAAUGACGGUACCUGAAGAAGAAGCACCGGCUAACUACGUGCCAGCAGCCGCCGUAACAC
rnacentral:rRNA from 1 species